GUGACCGAAAGUGGGCGUAACCCUAAAAAUUUCGCGCUGCGCGCGACUUUCAUUACUUGCGCUGGCGCUAGUUAGUUUGGACCCCCCCUUUCAUUUUUCCUGGAUCCGCCACUGAGUGUGGUGGGGGAGCGACCUCCCACAGCUCAGGACUUAGAGGCAAUGCCCUACCUCAGAGGAUGCAUCAAGGAGAGCCUCAGAGUCAGGUCAGUUGUAAAUCUCUUCUCUGGUGUUCUGAAAAAAGAUGCCGUCGUCCAUGAUUACCAUGUACCUGCUGGGGUGAAUUUGAUAUACUUGAGUUACACGGCUGCAAAGAGCGACAAAAUGUUUGAUGAGCCAUCAAAGUUCAAGCUAGCCUCGAUUCAAGGCCAAUUAAAAUACGUAUUUUAAUCGGCCUGGAAUCGAGGCUAAGUUCAAGUCAGAGAGGUGGAUGAGAAAGAAUGGACCACAGCAGCAUCCCUUCUCAAUACUGCCAUUUGGGUUUGGACCCAGACAAUGUUAUGGGAAAAGAUUUGCUGGAUUAGAAAUGAAACUACUGCUGGUUGAAUUGGCUCGAAACUUUACUCUAAAGACAAACAAGGAGGACUUGAAGAUAGUUGAAAAACUGAUAGCCACAGUGAAGGAGGACGUCCCUCUUUUUUUAACUGACAGAAAUUAAUUAACAGGAGCUAUUAUUUUUGAAUCUGUGGUGGGUGUAAUGAUAUGAAUGCACCUGUCAACCCAAGGCUACAAGGUUUAAAAUAAAACGCCCAAACUGCACCGCUUUUGCGGCUUUAAAUCGAGGAUUUCUCACUCUUUGAGGUUCCAUG